rnacentral:rRNA from 1 species
AACGAACGCUGGCGGCGGGCCUCAUACAUGCAAGUCGAGCGCGAAAGUCCGCAAGGAUGAGUAAAGCGGCGCACGGGUGAGUAACACGUGGAUAAUCUACCCUUUGGAUUGGAAUAACCUGUCGAAAGACGGGCUAAUGCCGAGUAAGCUUACGAGUUCGUGAAGUUCUUGUAAGGAAAGAUGGCGCAAGCUAUCGCCGAUGGAUGAGUCUGCGUCCCAUUAGUUAGUUGGUGGGGUAAUGGCUUACCAAGACAAUGAUGGGUACCUGGUUUGAGAGAAUGAUCAGGCACACUGGAACUGAAACACGGUCCAGACUCCUACGGGAGGCAGCAGUAGGGAAUAUUGCGCAAUGGACGAAAGUCUGACGCAGCCACGCCGCGUGAGUGAGGAAGGCCUCGGGUUGGUUAAAGGACUCUGUCAUCC